UUCACUGAGAACAAGGAAAUCAGCAAGUGAAACAUCUUCACAUCCACACAAAGACUGGCAGACCAGAAGGGGAAGAGACGGCUAAACAAGCAUGGAACUAUCACAGACAAACAAUAAUCUUGGAAUCUCAAAUGAAGCUUUUUAUGAAGGGGAACCAGAUUCCAACAAACCAGGUGGCAUUUAUGAUGAUGUAGGAGUUAACAAAAACCAAGGUGAAAUGAAGUCAAAGUU